GCAGCUUUGUGCUCAAAAGAGUGCAAGAGAAUGUUGUGGUCUCUUAAACGGAGGCAGGAGUGGGCAGGGCUCCCGCAUCCCCUACCACUGGCUACUGACUUAAGUGUCAACCAGCGAGUGGAUCGUGGAUAAUCUCAAGCCAAUGGAUACUUAAGCAUGCCUUUUGGGCACUGAACACUGCUCAACAUACUCAUUUCCCUUACCUUCCCAGUCCCAGGUUGUUUCUUAAGAGGAUGAGCAAUAGUAGGGGGCCACAGGGGACCCCACUGGGGAAUUCAUAUAAAUUUAUCCUUUGGCUUUUCACUUCAGUUUAAUGUGUAACACUAGAUGCACGCUCUAUUCUGAAAAUUUUCUCUUAUAAAGAUAACUGGGACUAGCUACCAUUGAGGUCUAAACGUUUUGGAACUGAUUUGGAGAGUGGUGUGCUCAGAAGGCCGUAUCUGUUGGGGGGAUUGCAAAAGAAAACUUGGAGUGGUACAGCUUUUGGCCCAGGGAUUCCAAAUGUCUUGAAAACCCCUGAAACUGUAUGUAAAAUGCCAUACAAAUGUGUGUGUGUGCACAUUUUUCUGGAGACGGUUCAUAACGUUCAACAUAUUUUUAGAGGGGCCUGUGACACAAAAAUGAACCCACUGUGGUCUAAGAAUACUGGGGAUAGGACUGAAUCUCCAAGGUAGGAGGCAAGGUGCAGUAGUGGUGUCAUUUUGGAAUCAGAGGGGUUUCCCAAAUUCCUUGUUAGGAAACUCAGCUGCAGGGGCUCUUUCCGUAUAUUUCUUGCCAUCCAAAGCCAGGCCAAGUUCCUCAGAGCUGAGAAGCCCAUGUGAACUGUCAUAUAGCAAAGCAAUGCUUGAAUAAACUACACUUUCAAUCAAUGGUGAGGAGUGGGCCCUGAGUUAGGAAGGAAAGGCAAUAGAGGUUUACUUCUGAAAUCACAUCUACCUUUAUCUACAAAAUAAGGGUCAAACCUCCUGGUCUUCUUAUGAGAAAAUAAGUAGAAGGUUAUAUAUGAGAUAUUGUAGACAGCAGCCUGUACAAGCUGGGAAGCUCACACAUGUGAAAAAAAUGGCUGUGGCUAGACUUGUGGGGACAGAACCCAGCUUCGGCACCGUCCUGGUCUUAGGAUCAGUCUAGGGCAGAAUCCAAUUGCAGUUUGUACAUCCUCUUUCUAGGUUCAGAGGUUAAAAUAUACAAUAUUUUAUCAUUAUUAACCCUGUCUCUUCAAGUUGGCAGUUAUUAAUGGUGGAUCAUAUCUGAUGUGAUAUAUUUAAGGUUACAGACUACAGUUAACUUUCUCCAUUUCGAUUUAGGACCAACUACAUAAUCCUUGGUAAGAAAAGGAGGUGGCCCUGACAAGUGCAACUCGAGAAAUGCAAUGCUGUAGAGUCCAAAGGUGUCUGACUUGAACGAAAUGAUCCCACUGGGGGACAAUGCAACAUAUACUCCAGGGUCAUGUUUUGUCAUGAUGCAGCAAGGAGAUCUGUUCCUAACUUGGACUUGGUUGUCUAACCCUCAUCUCUUCUCUUUAUUACAAGGUAGAUUCUUCCCUUGAACUUCCAGAUGAGAGCCCAGCAUGGCCAACAUCUUGAUUUUGGCUUUUUGAAACCUUAAGUAGAGAACCUGCUUGGUCUUAUGACCUAGAGAGC
rnacentral:lncRNA from 1 species